GCCUGGGUGGCUCAGUCGGUUAAGCAUCUGACUUCGGCUCAGGUCACGAUCUCGCAGUUUGUGAGUUCAAGUCCCGCGUUGGGCU
rnacentral:tRNA from 1 species